rnacentral:ncRNA from 1 species
AGAAAAGCGAAGAUGGGGACAGUACAGAGCAGGCAGCCAUGCAGAGAGAGGCGCGUUUGGUGCGAGCGCCUUAUGGAGGCAGUUUUUGGAAAACCACCCCGGAGCGUCCCUUAAUCGGGAACGGUGAUUCCGUUAUCAUCAGAAAUGAAGUGGUCCGGCGCGCGGCGCGCGGCGGGCAAGCAGGGUGGAACCGCGAUGAAAGAUCGUCCCUUGC